AUUGAACGCUGGCGGCAGGCCUAACACAUGCAAGUCGAACGAGUGGCGGACGGGUGAGUAAUGUAUGGGAAACUGCCUGAGGGAGGGGGAUAACUACUGGAAACGGUAGCUAAUACCGCAUACCAUCGGAUGUGCCCAGAUGGGAAUAGAUAGUAGGUGGGGUAAAGGCUCACCUAGGCGACGAUCCCUUGCUGGUCUGAGAGGAUGACCAGGCACACUGGAACUGAGACACGGUCCAGACUCCUACGGGAGGCAGCAGUGGGGAAUAUUGCACAAUGGGCGAAAGCCUGAUGCAGCCAUGCCGCGUGUAUGAAGAAGGUCGUCGGAUUGUAAAGCACUUUAAGCGGGGAGGCGUUACCAGCAGAAGAAGCACCGGCUAACUCCGUGCCAGCAGCCGCGGUAAUAC
rnacentral:rRNA from 1 species